UUAAGUUAGAAAGGGCGCACGGCGGAUGCCUUGGCACUAGGAGCCUAAGAAGGACGGCACUAACACCGAUAUGCUUCGGGGAGCUGUAAGUAAGCUUUGAUCCGAAGAUUUCCGAAUGGGGAAACCCACCAUCUUUAAUAGGAUGGUACGUAUUUGUGAAUACAUAGCAAAUACGAGGCAGACCCGGAGAACUGAAACAUCUAAGUAUCCGGAGGAAGAGAAAGAAAAAUCGAUUCCCUGAGUAGCGGCGAGCGAAACGGGAAAAGCCCAAACCAGGAAGCUUGCUUCCUGGGGUUGUAGGACACUCUAUACGGAGUUACAAAAGGAUGAGUUAGGCGAAGCGACCUGGAAAGGUCCGCCAGAGUGGGUAAAAGCCCCGUAACCGAAAAUUCAUCCCCUCCAGAGUGGAUCCUGAGUACGGCGGAACACGUGAAAUUCCGUCGGAAUCCGGGAGGACCAUCUCCCAAGGCUAAAUACUCCCUAGUGACCGAUAGUGAACCAGUACCGUGAGGGAAAGGUGAAAAGCACCCCGGAAGGGGAGUGAAAUAGAUCCUGAAACCGUGUGCCUACAAGUUGUCAGAGCCCGUUAAUGGGUGAUGGCGUGCCUUUUGUAGAAUGAACCGGCGAGUUACGAUUCCAUGCGAGGUUAAGCAGAGAAUGCGGAGCCGCAGCGAAAGCGAGUCUGAAUAGGGCGAAUGAGUAUGGGGUCGUAGACCCGAAACCAGGUGAUCUACCCAUGUCCAGGGUGAAGGUAAGGUAACACUUACUGGAGGCCCGAACCCACGUACGUUGAAAAGUGCGGGGAUGAGGUGUGGGUAGCGGUGAAAUUCCAAUCGAACCUGGAGAUAGCUGGUUCUCUCCGAAAUAGCUUUAGGGCUAGCCUCAAACGUUAGAAUCUCGGAGGUAGAGCACUGUUUGGACUAGGGGCCCAUCCCGGGUUACCGAAUUCAGACAAACUCCGAAUGCCGAUGAUUUAUGUUUGGGAGUCAGACUAUGGGUGAUAAGGUCCAUAGUCGAGAGGGAAACAGCCCAGACCGCCAGUUAAGGUCCCAAAGUAUUCGUUAAGUGGAAAAGGAUGUGGCGCUGCCCAGACAACCAGGAUGUUGGCUUAGAAGCAGCCAUCAUUUAAAGAGUGCGUAAUAGCUCACUGGUCGAGUGGCGCUGCGCCGAAAAUGUAUCGGGGCUAAACGAAUCACCGAAACUGCGGAUUGACACCUUUGGUGUCAGUGGUAGGAGAGCGUUCCAAGGGCGUUGAAGCUGGACCGGAAGGACUGGUGGAGCGCUUGGAAGUGAGAAUGCCGGUAUGAGUAGCGAAAGAAGGGUGAGAAUCCCUUCCACCGAAUGCCCAAGGUUUCCUGAGGAAGGCUCGUCCACUCAGGGUCAGUCGGGACCUAAGUCGAGGCCGAUAGGCGUAGACGAUGGACAACAGGUUGAUAUUCCUGUACUACCUCCCCACCGUUUGAGUGAUGGGGUGACGCAGAAGGAUAGGGUGAGCGCGCUGUUGGUCAUGCGCGUCUAAGCAGUGAGGUGUGAAACGAGGCAAAUCCCGUUCUAUAACAUUGAGCUGUGAUGGCAAGGGGUGUAUACCCUGGGAGUCCCUGAUUUCACACUGCCAAGAAAAGCCUCUAACGAGGUGGGAGGUACCGUACCGCAAACACACAGGUAGGCGAGGAGAGAAUCCUAAGGUGAUCGAGAGAACUCUCGUUAAGAACUCGGCAAAAUGACCCCGUAAUUCGGGGAGAAGGGUGCUCUGGUAGGGUUUAUAGCCGAGAGAGCCGCAGUGAAUAGGCCAGGCGACUGUUUAGCAAAAACACAGGUCUCUGCAAAACCGUAAGGUGACGUAUAGGGGCUGACGCCUGCCCGGUGCUGGAAGGUUAAGAGGAGAGGUUAGCGCAAGCGAAGCUUCGAAUUGAGCCCCAGUAAACGGCGGCCGUAACUAUAACGGUCCUAAGGUAGCGAAAUUCCUUGUCGGGUAAGUUCCGACCCACGAAAGGCGUAACGAUCUGGGCACUGUCUCAACGAGAGACUCGGUGAAAU
rnacentral:rRNA from 1 species